CAGGAUUUGUAGAUCAUUUUGAGCUUAGUGAAGCUGGGCUUGAGCUUGUUGGGGACAUCUACCUAUGUCAUUCUUCUUCAAAGAAGUUUGAGAGAUUAAUUGUUUCUCGCCGUUUCUUUGAAGAAUUCAACCUGAUGGCUUGCAGAGAUACUUUUGCCUUUCUAGGAUGUGAUUGUUUUGACGUUGGUCAUCGCUUUACACUUUUUGCAGAAAAACUUUGAGAAGAGGAGAUGCCCCACUUUGACAUGGCCAUCAUCCUCGCAGCCACCCCAUAGCCUAGAGAAAGGGGUUAAAGCCCUCAUCUGUUGUUACCAAGCAGGUAAGGGACCAGGUGAAGUUAGCAGGGAGGCUGCUACCAAAGAAGCCACCACCAUAGCCGAGAGAAAGGGGUUAAAGCUCUCAUCUAUUGUUACAAGCAGGUAAGGGACCAAGUGAAGAGGGUCAUCAGGGAGGCUGUUACCCAAGAGGGUGAUAGGAGACCUCCCUUCAAGGAUAAGGAGAAGAAUAAGGUGGAAGAAGUCCCCUAAAAUAAGCAAAAAUUUUCUACUAGAGAGGGUGAGUUUAUGGCCAGCUCACUACCUCGCUUCGAAGUCCUUGCUGGGGAGAAACUGAUGGCAGCGUUUAGUGCCGAGGCUAAGGAAGCUCAAAAGAAGCUAAUUGCUGUGUAGUUCCCAAGGCAAGAAUCUUCGAAGUGAGCGAGGACCUCAAGUGGGUUCUCACCCGAAACUUGCUAUCUCGUAAUGAAACAAUGAACUGGCCCUGGAGGCUUUGUCCAUGUUGCUGACGAAAAGUUUGAACUGCAACUCUACUUUUCACCAGUCCUUCAUGGAGACCAUUAAUUGAACGGACAUUUUCACCACAUUGGUGAGCCAAUCUGCGAGGGCCUAUGGGGUCGCUAUAGAGGCGAAGGCCCUUUUUAAAAAACCUUUAGAAUAAAAAUAAAGAAUUUACAAAUAAGACCUCCCAGACAGAGAAGGCAGCUAAGAAUGCGAAAGUGGAGGUAGAGGCUGUUAAGAAGUAGCAUGCUGAAGACUCCAUAAAGCUCGCCUUUGCCUUGGCAGAAAUUAAAAACUUGUAGAAGCAAGUCCACUAGUGUUAGAGUGAAGUGGCUUCCAUGACAAGGCGAGUGGAGACUUCUGAUGCUCACCAAAGGCUAGUGGCUGAGGCCUUAGAGGCAACAAUUAAAGAGAAUGUUGUUCUAAAAGAUUGGGUGCGGGAGUUAGACUCCAGAGUGUCGGGCCUAACUGAGGAGCUGGAGAUGGUGAGGAAGGAGGCAGAGUCUGUUAGCAGUGAGGGUGAAAAGCGUUAUAUAUCUAACUUUCACCUAACUGAGGCAUACCAGAGUUUUGCAAAAUAUUGGUGAAGGUACACCUAUGCGAAGGUGGUGGAGUGGAUUGAAGCCAACUUCCAGACCUUCAAUACUUCAAAACUGAGGUUUAAGUUCUUGGAUGAGGGAGAAGAACCUCAAACUUCUAAGGAGGAUAGCCAUGUGAUAGAGAUCAAAGACAAAGCCACCGAAGAAGAGGCUAAAGUCGAAGAAGUCAUGGCUUCCGAUGCCAUAAUACCCUCUGUACCUCCUCCUCCCCCACCUGUUUAGAUAGGACAACUUGUAAUUAUUUUAUUUUACUUUGUAAUUUGGCCUAGAAGCCCACUUUUGUAAUAUUAAUUGAUCAUUAAUGGAAGUCCUU
rnacentral:lncRNA from 1 species